GUGGCGAACGGGUGAGUAACACGUGGGCAAUCUGCCCUUCACUCUGGGACAAGCCCUGGAAACGGGGUCUAAUACCGGAUAACACUCUGUCCCGCAUGGGACGGGGUUAAAAGCUCCGGCGGUGAAGGAUGAGCCCGCGGCCUAUCAGCUUGUUGGUGGGGUAAUGGCCUACCAAGGCGACGACGGGUAGCCGGCCUGAGAGGGCGACCGGCCACACUGGGACUGAGACACGGCCCAGACUCCUACGGGAGGCAGCAGUGGGGAAUAUUGCACAAUGGGCGAAAGCCUGAUGCAGCGACGCCGCGUGAGGGAUGACGGCCUUCGGGUUGUAAACCUCUUUCAGCAGGGAAGAAGCGAAAGUGACGGUACCUGCAGAAGAAGCGCCGGCUAACUACGUGCCAGCAGCCGCGGUAAUACGUAGGGCGCAAGCGUUGUCCGGAAUUAUUGGGCGUAAAGAGCUCGUAGGCGGCUUGUCACGUCGGAUGUGAAAGCCCGGGGCUUAACCCCGGGUCUGCAUUCGAUACGGGCUAGCUAGAGUGUGGUAGGGGAGAUCGGAAUUCCUGGUGUAGCGGUGAAAU
rnacentral:rRNA from 2 species